rnacentral:rRNA from 1 species
GCUCCGAGUUGUAAUUUGUAGAAGAUGCUUCGGGUGCGGCUCCGGUCUAAGUUCCUUGGAACAGGACGUCAUAGAGGGUGAGAAUCCCGUAUGUGAUCGGGGGCCUGCGCCCGUGUGAAGCUCUUUCGACGAGUCGAGUUGUUUGGGAAUGCAGCUCAAAAUGGGUGGUAAAUUUCAUCUAAAGCUAAAUAUUGGCCAGAGACCGAUAGCGCACAAGUAGAGUGAUCGAAAGAUGAAAAGCACUUUGGAAAGAGAGUUAAACAGUACGUGAAAUUGUUGAAAGGGAAGCGCUUGCAACCAGACUUGCGCGGGGCCGAUCAUCCGGGGUUCUCCCCGGUGCACUCGGCCCCGCUCAGGCCAGCAUCGGUUUCGGUGGCGGGACAAAGGCUGCGGGAAUGUGGCUCCCCUCGGGGAGUGUUAUAGCCCGCGGUGCAAUGCCGCCUACCGGGACCGAGGACCGCGCUUCGGCUAGGAUGCUGGCGUAAUGGUUGUAAGCGACCCGUCUUGAAACACGGACCAAGGAGUCUAACAUCUAUGCGAGUGUUUGGGUGUCAAACCCAUACGCGUAAUGAAAGUGAACGGAGGUGAGAACCCUUAAGGGUGCAUCAUCGACCGAUCCUGAUGUCUUCGGAUGGAUUUGAGUAAGAGCAUAGCUGUUGGGACCCGAAAGAUGGUGAACUAUGCCUGAAUAGGGUGAAGCCAGAGGAAACUCUGGUGGAGGCUCGCAGCGGUUCUGACGUGCA